rnacentral:rRNA from 1 species
GAUGAACGCUAGCGGCAGGCUUAAUACAUGCAAGUCGAGGGACAGCACAGGUAGCAAUACUGGGUGGUAACCGGCAAACGGGUGCGGAACACGUACACAACCCUCCUUAAGUGGGGGAUAGCCCAGCGAAAUUUGGAUUAAUACCCCGUAAUAUAGUUGAAUGGCAUCAUUUGAUUAUUAUAGCUACGGCGCUUAAUGAUGGGUGUGCGGCUGAUUAGAUAGUUGGCGGGGUAACGGCCCACCAAGUCGACGAUCAGUAGCUGAUGUGAGAGCAUGAUCAGCCACACGGGCACUGAGACACGGGCCCGACUCCUACGGGAGGCAGCAGUAAGGAAUAUUGGUCAAUGGACGCAAGUCUGAACCAGCCAUGCCGCGUGAAGGAUUAAGGUCCUCUGGAUUGUAAACUUCUUUUAUUUGGGACGAAAAAGGGCCUUUCUAGGUCAACUGACGGUACCAGAUGAAUAAGCACCGGCUAACUCCGUGCCAGCAGCCGCGGUAACAC